GCUGUGGCCUUAUUGGAAGAAGUGUGUCACUGGGGAUGGACUUUGAGGUUUCAGAAGCUCAGACAGGCCCAGUAGCUCAUUCUCUCUUCCUGUUGCCUGCUGAUCC
rnacentral:miRNA from 1 species